GACGGAGCCACUAUCUCUGAAAGGAGAGAUCUCAUCCGCUGUCCACUGGGGAAUGGCCUUGCCCUAUGGCCCCUACCAAACAAAAACGUAGCAGAACACAGCAAAACAGCAGAGUCGGAAUGUGAAGUGCUGAUAGAGUUCCCUAACGCUGACUGUCUGCUCUGCAUUUCUGGAGAUUGUAUGCCUGUCAUCCUGCAUUCCUUGAUGGUGAAGCCAAGGCCUGAAGACCUUUCCUGCAAGGUCGCAGAGGAAGAGGCAGAAGAAGGACCAGAACCCAGCUCCCCUGACUCCCUAUCCAGUGCUCUUCUCAUAGAUUACAUUGCUUCAGCAUCCACCUGGCUAUUGCUCCAUCCAGGGGUUACAGGAGUCACUGACUGUUUUGGUUGCUUCUUGGUUGGAGGAUGUUGUGCCUCACCGAUGAGAGCCGGAAGCAAAGGUACCAGUUCUUAGAGGAAGCAUAGGAAUGUGUCCCUUCCUGCUCGGGUCUCUCAACUGAACUCAACCCUUCCUUGAUUGAUUGACAAGCAUGUUAUCUCUCAUAAUCCCUGCCCGGUAAGGGCUGAUGUCCCCAUUUUACAGAUGAGGAUAUUGGAGCUCAGAGAAGUGAAAUGAUUGCUGAAGGUCACACAGCCUGGCUUCAAGCCUCUCGGGCUCCAAAAGGCAUCUUCUGUUCUCUCCGUCAGGAAGCCUCUUUUGGAUGAUUAACUGAGAUUAAAAAUGAAAAGACACAUGAAAGAAAGGUCCUUUUUUUCAACCUGACAAGAACUAAGAAUGCCUCUGUAUUCCAGGCACCCAGACCAGGGUGGGCUGGAAAGCCAGCCAGAGAGAAAGCAGGAGAAAGAAAGCAUGUUCUAACAGGAAG
rnacentral:lncRNA from 1 species